rnacentral:rRNA from 1 species
UACGUAGGGGGCAAGCGUUGUCCGGAAUCAUUGGGCGUAAAGAGCGUGUAGGCGGCCUGGUAAGUCCGCUGUGAAAGUCGAGGGCUCAACCCUCGAAUGCCGGUGGAUACUGUCGGGCUUGAGUACGGGAGAGGCGAGUGGAAUUCCUGGUGUAGCGGUGAAAUGCGCAGAUAUCAGGAGGAACACCGAUUGCGAAGGCAGCCCGCUGGGACGUGACUGACGCUGAGACGCGAAAGCGUGGGGAGCAAACAGG